rnacentral:rRNA from 1 species
AUUGAACGCUGGCGGCAGGCCUAACACAUGCAAGUCGAACGGUAACAGGAAGAAGCUUGCUUCUUUGCUUACGCGUGGCGGACGGGUGAGUAAUGUCUGGGAAACUGCCUGAUGGAGGGGGAUAACUACUGGAAACGGUAGCUAAUACCGCAUAACGUCUCAAGACCAAAGAGGGGGACCUUCGGGCCUCUUGCCUUCGGAUGUGCCCAGAUGGGAUUAGCUAGUAGGUGGGGUAACGGCUCACCUAGGCGACGAUCCCUAGCUGGUCUGAGAGGAUGAUCAGCCACACUGGAACUGAGACACGGUCCAGACUCCUACGGGAGGCAGCAGUGGGGAAUAUUGCACAAUGGGCGCAAGCCUGAUGCAGCCAUGCCGCGUGUAUGAAGAAGGCCUUCGGGUUGUAAAGUACUUUCAGCGGGGAGGAAGGGAGUAAAGUUAAUACCCUUGCUCAUUGACGUUACCCGCAGAAGAAGCACCGGCUAACUACGUG